CCUACGGGAGGCUGCAGUGAGGAAUAUUGGUCAAUGGACAAGAGUCUGAACCAGCCAAGUAGCGUGAAGGAUGACUGCCCUAUGGGUUGUAAACUUCUUUUAUAUGGGAAUAAAAUGUUCCACGUGUGGGAUUUUGUAUGUACUAUAUGAAUAAGGAUCGGCUAACUCCGUGCCAGCAGCCGCGGUAAUACGGAGGAUCCGAGCGUUAUCCGGAUUUAUUGGGUUUAAAGGGCGCGUAGGUGGUUUGUUAAGUCAGUUGUGAAAGUUUGCGGCUCAACCGUAAAAUUGCAGUUGAUACUGGCAGUCUUGAGUACAGUGGAGGUAGGCGGAAUUCGUGGUGUAGCGGUGAAAUGCUUAGAUAUCACGAAGAACUCCGAUUGCGAAGGCAGUUCACUGGACUGCAACUGACACUGAGGCUCGAAAGUGUGGGUAUCAAACAGGAUUAGAUACCCGGGUAGUC
rnacentral:rRNA from 1 species